UUGUAGCUCAGUGGUAGAGCACUUACCUAGAAUGUGUGAGGCUCUGGGUUCACUCCUCAGCAA
rnacentral:tRNA from 1 species